CCGAUGACAAGAACAAUAGUGACGCUUGUAAAUUCAUCGAAACGUUGGAGGAUCAUGGACUUCAACAACAUAUAAAUAGUCCAACUCACAUCCAUGGACACACUUUAGAUGUCAUCAUUACAAGAGAAAUCAGUUCGAUUCUAAAGAAUGCGCCGGUCGUACAUCAUCCGUAUUUAUGUGACAAGAAAGGCAAUCCCGCUGGUGACCAUAUGGCCCUGUUCGCUCAGCUAAGAAUCUCAAAACCGUCGAAAUAUCGCCAAACAGUGACUUACCGCAAAUAUCGAGACAUCAAUCUGGACGACAUCAAAAAUGACUUUGUUGAAUCGAUUCCGUCUGUUGUAAAUGUAACAGAACCUGUCGGUAAGUUGGUUAGUCUUUAACAAUCGAAUA
rnacentral:lncRNA from 1 species